AUACUUAGCUGGCAGGGGAGAUACCAUGAUGAUGAAGGUGAUUUCCUCAGGGUGAGGCUUAUCCAUUACAUUCCGGAUGUGCUGACCUCUAUGAUAUCCACAAAUAUGGGAAACUCAACUGCAUAAUUUGUGGUGGAGGACUGAGUUUACAAUCUUCCC